GACGAACGCUGGCGGCGUGCUUAACACAUGCAAGUCGAACGGAAAGGCCCUGCUUUUGUGGGGUUCUCGAGUGGCGAACGGGUGAGUAACACGUGAGUAACCUGCCCUUGACUUUGGGAUAACUUCAGGAAACUGGGGCUAAUACCGGAUAGGAGCUCCUGCUGCAUGGUGUGGGUUGGUAAGUUUCGGCGGUUGGGGAUCGACUCGCGGCUUAUCAGCUUGUUGGUGUGGUAGGGGCUUACCAAGGCUUUGACGGGUAGCCGGCCUGGGAGGGGGACCGGCCACAUGGGGCUUGGGUAAGGGCCCGACAUCCAACGGGAGGAAACGGUGGGGAAAUUGGCAGAGGGGGGCGAAGCCGGAUGCGACAAGCCGCGGGGCGGAAUACCGGCCUUCGGGUGGAAAACCGCUUUGGCAUGUGACAAAGCGUUAGUGACGGUAAUUGGUAAAGAAGCACCGGCUAACUACGUG
rnacentral:rRNA from 1 species